AUGCGCAGGGGUCAUGGCGCGACGGUGGAUGAGGGUGCUCGUGGCCAUGAUUUUUGCUGGAACCGGCUCCGCAGUUGCUGCAACCGGCAAGACGACGUGCACAUUGGAGCUGGAGUUGGAGCGCGCUCACCGGCGAUGUGGUUUUCGCUGGAACCGGCUAGUUACUUUGCUACAAUCAGACUUUGGGGAUUUUUGCUGCUAUGUUUAUUUUUGCUGGAACUAGUGUCAAUUUUUGUUGGAACCGGCUAUUCAUUUGCUACAAGCGGAUUUUCUGAUUUUUUGCUGCUAUGGUUGAUUUGCUGGAACCGGGCAGCGGGGAUGGUGACCAUGCUGGAACCGGGCAACGGGGAUGCUGGAACCAUCGGUAGCUUUUGCUUCUACCAGCAGCAAUUGAAACAGCAAUUGAAUCAUCGCGGGGCAAGCGGCCACGGCGUGCUCCGCCUGCGAGCCGGCGGGCAGCCGCGGUGA
rnacentral:rRNA from 1 species